CCAGCCUAUGCGGCCCGGCCCGGCCCGGCCUCCGAUCGGGCCCGCUCCCCCGCCCGCGCCCCGCCCGCACCGAGCACCCGAAGCGCGGGAGCGCGCGCGCCCUACGGGCCGCACCAUCGUACAGGCCGCUGGGGGAGGAGCUCCCGGGAGCAAUCCAGACGCUGGCGCCAAGAAGAGCCUCUCCUACAGCCUGCGGCCCCAAAGGACACAGACACCAGCGCACCCUGCUCCGCAGACGUACAGCCGGAUGCCAUUUCCCUCCUAUGAGCCUGCCGCGGGCACGGGGAAUCCGGCUCCCCCCGCGGGCCGCACUGAGCUCGUCCGGGGGCGGGGGCGGACGGCCCCUACCGUCACCCCACGCGGCCUCGGUCUGCGCAGGCGCGCAGAGGGGGUGGACUCUUGGCCGGGGCGACGGCUACGGCGACUUGGUGGAGCGAGUGUCGCGACGUCCUGCCGCCGAGCGAGGAGCGCCUCCUGGGCCUGCCCAACCACGGCUUUGGGCCACGGGUGUGCGUCCACUCGCCGAGACACCUGACGACCGCGGCCGAGGGGGAAGGCAGCGCAGACGGGGCGCUCCCCGGUGUCGCUGGGCUGCGGGGGUCGGGACAGGGUCCAGAAGCCUUUGAUGCAAAUGUUAGCCGGCCGGUCAAAGCGAAGACGACGCCUUUGCAGUCCUCCGUGACACCGCGAUGCGAUAGCUCCGUCACGUUGAGGCUCAAGCUGGCCUGUGUCCUGUUACUGGAGUUCGUGGUGAAAAGCGGCCCUGGAGGUGAACGUCGUCGGCCGGUUCCUUGGCCACUUUGGUUAUCUUUUGAUUUGUACGGGUGUGAGUGAUUUUGCCAGAGCAAAGCAGGGUCUCCCUAUUCGGUUCAGACUGGCUUUGAACUUGCCUCCAUCUUCCUUCCUCGGCCUCCCAACUGCUGGGAUUACAAGCAUGCGCCACCAUGCCUGGUGGCUUUUUACAUUGGAGCCGCCUGAAACCCUUUUCUAAGCCUAGCAAAUUUCUUUUACAAAUGAUAGAAACAUUGACUGCUGGCCUGAAUGAAUAACCAAGAAUUUGUCAUCCGUUUUUUGUUUUUGUGACAUUGCUCUGUAGUCAGGAAAUCUUUGAAUGCCCAAGAAUAUACUGAAAACGCCAGCGUGAUAAAUUGUAUUUCCAAAUACACAACUGUCUUCGUUGGCCUGUGUGGAACUUUAGUAUCUGUUUGCUGCCUACUUAAACGCAGACUGAACAGGUUAUUUUGUUAAAACGCUUGACCUCAACCUGGUGUCUUAUUUUCUAAGUGAAGAAUAUAAUCAGUAAAAUUCAGCAGGACCAGUUUACCUUACUUCAAGUUCUGGUAGUAAAGCAAGUCGAGGACCUAAGAAACCUGCACAAUUAAAAUCCAUUCAAGCUAUGAGGCAGAAAUCACACAAAAAAUGGUUCGGUGUCUAAGCCAAAUUUUACCUGAAAUCAACUUCAUUUGGAUAGUAGACGUUCUAAGGAAGUCUAAGAAAUGUCCUGAAGUCAUGAAGAAUGGUGGUUCAACUUUUAAAGAUAAGCAGUGAAACUCAGAAGAAAAUUAUUUUAAGUUCAUUUCUGUAAUAUAAAAUGUCCAUUACAAAAUUGCAGGGAAAAUGCCACGUUGAGAUUGCUGUGUUUUAUUCAUUGAUAAAUAGAUAAUUCUUUUAUCGCUGAUUUUUGUGACACUUAGAAGAUGACGCAGUUAAGGUAAUAUUUCAUUGAACAAGGAGUUUUGUCUCUCUUCUUUGACUGUGAGGCAUGUAGUACCCCAAAUAUGAUGCUCUGAGUGUUGAUAUUUUAUAGAGUUUUCCCAAGUAAAUUCAAAGCAUGAUCAUGUUGUGACUUCCAGAGAAUGAACACCCUGAGUGCUGAUCCUGAUUUUGUAAAUGUGGUAACACGGUUCCCAUUUUGUAUUGGAAAAUUAUACUGAGCUUAGAAAAAAUGAAAAUGUAGAAUGAGAAAAGUAGAAUUGGGAAUAUAUCACCCCCUUUGUACCUCUGAGGGAAACCCAAGGCAGUUAUUUAGAUAAGUAUUACCAAAUGACUUUUUAAAAAUCCAUUUCUGUAUUGUAUACAGUAGUCUCGAUCUUGGCUUUGUGUUUUGUUCAGUUAACCCACACACCCCUCAGAGUUAGAUGUUAUCCAUGUUCAGUAAAUCUUUAGUCUGUUUUUAUAGGCUACAACAAACACAUCCUUCUCAUGAAAGGGACAGAAUACUCAGAGACACAAGACAGUUUUCUCAGUGACCCCAGUGGUCAUUUAACUAGUCAGCUAGCAUGGAAAAACUGGGAAGCACAAGUAAAACAGUAAAUUAUCCCAAAUCCUUACUGAGAUCCUUCCAGAUAUUGUCCCAUAUAAAUAUAUUUUUCCUUUAACAAGAAAAACCAUACCCUGGACACACUUCUAAUGCCCCUUCCCAAAAAAAAAAAAUUCAAGAAUGUCUUCCAUGUCAGUAAAUAAUAGAUCUACAUCCUUUAAUGAAUACCUAAUUGUGUUCAUUUCUCAUUGCUGUGACAAACUACCUGACAAAGGAGAAAAGGUUUGUUUUCUUUUAAGGUUUCUGAGGUUCCAGUCCACGGUCAGCUGGCUAUCAGGCCUGUGGUAAGGCAGAAAUAUGGCAGAAGCACAUGACAAGGGAAAGCUGCCUCACCUCGUGGCAGCCAGGGAGCAGGGAGAAGAGCCAGGGGGAAAAGAGCCUAUGAGCAGAUAAUUGCCAAAGUUACACCCCCAGGAGCACUCCUUUCCAGUAGGCCCUACCUUCUGUUUCCAUCACCUUCUGACAGUGUCAUCAGAUUGUGAUUUCAUCAGUGGGUUCAUCCAUUUGAUAAAAUUAGAGGCUUCCUGAUCUGGUCACCAUCCUCUGAACACAGAAGCUUUUGGGGGAACAUUUUAGGUCUAAACCAUAACAAUAGCACUCCAUUGUUUUUUUCAUUAUUUAGUACUGUGUCAUCACACAUUUCUUGUUUCCCAUUUAACAACUAUAAACAAUGCUGCAACAAAGCUGGCAUCUUUUUGAAGAAGGAGGGGGGAGGGGAGGGGGGAAAAGGAAAGAGUCAACUUUUAAUUAUAACUGACCAAACUUCACCAGGAAUGUCUUUGAACGAUGGAGGCAAAAACAUGAUAAAAUUCUCCUACUGAAGAAACCAAGGCUUCUCGUUGGUCCUGGUGCUCCCUGAGGCCCAGGCCAAGGGCAGAAGGUCCCCGAGGCCAGCUCUGCUCCCCUCACGUCUUUCAUCAUCGCAAGGGACAGCUGGGAACAGCGAGGGGCCCGUCCCCUCCUCCUGUCACACCACAGCUCUGAGGAAGUCACUGCUCGGCGAACCUCUCCGGCCUCACUUCCUGUCCUAAGGUGACCGGAGACCCAGCAAUGGGGCACAGGACCCCCUGUGCCCCCUGGCUUUCAGCCAUGGCACCGCUUCAGUCUGCUCGGCCAGUUGCUUUUGGUGCCCUGGCAGGGAUUAAAUAAAACGUGGUAAAGAACUGAAAUGCCCUACAGUCUACACAGUGCAAGUCACAUAGCACAAGUAAAAGAAUGGCACUAAGGGCGGGAGGCCCAGCUCGAUCAGAAGACGCACUCGAACUCCGUCUGGUUGGUGGUGGCUGGGUUGCGGCUCUGGUUGGUAGUCUGCUGGGUGAUCUGGCUGCCCUUCCAGUGUGGUGGAGCCAGGUACUCGAACAUGGACGUCAGGUGGGUGGACAACAUGCCCUUGAGGUCCAAGGGCAUGGAGUCGGACCAGAAGAAGUCGUGGUUGGCGUCAUCGCUGUUGAUGCGCUGUGCGGGGUCCAGGACCAGCAGCUUGUCAGUGAGGUCCAGGGCAUACAGGUCAUGCACAUAGGCCUUCAGCCUGUCUUUCGCCUUCCGCUUCUGGCCCUUGACCAGGUCCAGCUUCUCAAAUAGCUCGUACUUGUCCACAUUUGGCCACACCUCGGGGGUGAUGGAGCCACAGAGCUGGCUGAUGAGGGCGAGCUGGUGCCGCCCCGUGUUGCCCUGCAUGAUGGGGCUGCGGGUCCACAUCUCAGCCAUGAUGCACCCUGUGCCCCACGGGUCAAUGGGUGGACUGUAGUCCCGCUCCCGAGCAGCAGCUCCGGG
rnacentral:lncRNA from 1 species